AUUUAGAGGAAGGAGAAGUCGUAACAAGGUUUCCGUAGGUGAACCUGCGGAAGGAUCAUUGUCGGAGCCUACCGAAAAAAAGACUUGCGAACGCGUUCAUCAUCGGGCGUCGGGGUGAUUCCCGCGCGCGUGCCCCGCCGGCCGGUCGGUGCCUUCCCGGCUCCCGACUGUGCCAGACAACCAAAAACCAGCGCGGAAAGCGCCAAGGACUAGAAAACAGAAUGCCUUCCUCCUGCUCGGCCGGCCGUUCGCGGCGCGGGUCGCGGGAGAGAAGGCUUCGUUCGAAUCUAAAACGACUCUCGGCAACGGAUAUCUAGGCUCUCGCAUCGAUGAAGAACGUAGCAAACUGCGAUACUUGGUGUGAAUUGCAGAAUCCCGUGAACCAUCGAGUUUUUGAACGCAAGUUGCGCCCGAAGCCAUUAGGCCGAGGGCACGCCUGCCUGGGCGUCACGCAUCGCGUCGCCCCCCGCACGCCUCGCCCCGAACGGGACGACGGUCGCGCACGGGGGCGGAAAAUGGCCUCCCGUACUCUGCUUGCGGUUGGCCCAAACCCGAGUCCCUCUCGUCGCGGACGUCACGACAAGUGGUAGCGGAAACCUCGAACUCGAACGCGAGUCGUGCGCACCUCGUGGCCGAGGAGACCCUUAGACCCUACGCUGAGUCCCUCUCCGGGGACGCUCGCAACGACUGCGACCCCAGGUCAGGCGGGGCCACCCGCCGAGUUUAA
rnacentral:misc_RNA from 1 species